rnacentral:rRNA from 1 species
UGAACGGUAGGCAAAUCCGCCGAUCUAGCUGAAAGUCGAUAGUACCGCGAGCCUUCGGGUAAGCGGAUAGCGCAGGUAAUCAGACUUCCAAGAAAAACCGCUAAGCUUCAGGUUAUAAAAACCCGUACCGCAAACCGACACAGGUAUCCGGGAAGAGGAUUCUAAGGUGCUCGAGUGAAUCAUGGCUAAGGAACUCGGCAAAAUGGCCCUGUAACUUCGGGAGAAGGGGCGCUGGCAGCAAUGUCAGCCGCAGUGAAAAGGCCCAGGCGACUGUUUAACAAAAACACAUGGCUUUGCAAAAUCGAAAGAUGAGGUAUAAGGCCUGACACCUGCCCGGUGCUGGAAGGUUAAGAGGGGAUGUCAUCGUAAGAGAAGCAUUGAAUCGAAGCCCCAGUAAACGGCGGCCGUAACAAUAACGGUCCUAAGGUAGCGAAAUUCCUUGUCGGGUAAGUUCCGACCUGCACGAAUGGUGUAACGAUCUGGGCGCUGUCUCAGCCAUGAGCUCGGUGAAAUUGUGGUCCCGGUGAAGACGCCGGGUACCCGCAACGGGACGGAAAGACCCCAUGCACCUUCACUACAAUUUAACAUUGACAUUGGAUACAGGAUGUGUAGGAUAGGUGGGAGGCUUUGAAGCGGCGUCGCUAGGCGUCGUGGAGCCAACGUUGAAAUACCACCCUUUCUGUAUUCGGUGUCUAAUCCCCUCAGGGGGAGACAUUGUUUGAUGGGUAGUUUGACUGGGGUGGUCGCCUCCAAAAAGGUAACGGAGGCUUUCAAAGGUAAGCUCAGUACGCUUGGUAACCGUACGCGGAGUGCAAUAGCAUAAGCUUGCUUGACUGUGAGACAGACAAGUCGAUCAGGGUCGAAAGACGGAUAUAGUGAUCCGGUGGUUCUGCAUGGAAGGGCCAUCGCUCAAAGGAUAAAAGGUACGCUGGGAGAACAGGCUGAUCUCCCCCAAGAGCUCAUAUCGACGGGGAGGUUUGGCACCUCGAUGUCGGCUCGUCACAUCCUGGGGCUGGAGAAGGUCCCAAGGGUUCGGCUGUUCGCCGAUUAAAGUGGCACGCGAGCCGGGUUCAGAACGUCGCGAGACAGUUCGGUCCCUAUCUGUUGUGGGCGUAGGAAUCUUGAGUGGGGCUGACCUUAGUACGAGAGGACCGGGUUGGACUAGCCUCUAGUGAAUCUGUUGUUCCGCCAGGGGCAUUGCAGAGUAGCUACGCUGGGAAUAGAUAAGCGCUGAAAGCAUCUAAGUGCGAAACUAGCCACGAGAUGAGAAUUCCAUAUAGGACCGUAGAAGACUACUACGUUGAUAGGCUACAGAUGUAAAGCUGGCGACAGCACAGUCGAGUAGUACUAAUCAUCCA